GUCUGAUGUCUAUCUGAUAUCACUAUUCCAUAAAUUUUUUUCGAAUAUGAAUACAAGAUUUACACAAAUGAAUUAAUCCCAAUAUGAAUUGAAUAUAUACAGGUGAAAUGUCCACUAUUGGUCGUGUGAGAAAUAUCACGUCUCAACUUACGACAUUUCACUAUAAAGUUUCCAGAAUAGAUUAAUUCCACGGAAAACUGGGUUC
rnacentral:lncRNA from 1 species